rnacentral:lncRNA from 1 species
GAGGCAUAAAAGAUACUUCCAACUAAGGCACUAGAACGCAUGGAACCUUCAUUUAGCAACCUUCUUAUUUAGGCUACCCCCUUAAGAUGAGAUUGAUUGGGGAGACAUUAGGGACUAGUCCUCAUAACCUUUUUAAAUGCUACACAUCAUAUAGUCUUUAAAAUUUGUUGUACCGAGUCUCUUGAUCCAAGGUUGGCUUCAUGACUAAGUUCCAAUUGUUAGUACCUUUAUCACAGUUUAUCACAGUUAAGUUGCUUCACUCUCACUUUGUACAUAAAGCUUUGUAGAAUUUGGUGUCAUCUGAUCUUCAUACGCAACUCUUAGUCUGUGAGUAUCAGUAAUGACAUAAACCUCCAAUUAUAUUCUCCAAGUGGGUUGAUACCUUGGAACAAAACCAAAUUCACCAAACAUUUGUGAUCCUAACAUAUGAUCCAACAUUAACCAAUCAUUCUCCUUGUAACUUCUUUAACUAGGCUACCGCCCUUAUGAAAAGUCAACUAGGGCACAAGAAAGGUAGCUUGCAUGUUUUUCAGACAAGUUAACUAACAUUGAGAACUCCUGACAUCCCAAAGAACUUAGGUGCAAGAGAACAAACAGGUAUCCUGAAAUCUUCUCGUGAUAUGAAAACACCAGCGUAGUAAAACAAGUAUAACUCUUAUUAUGUUAAUCCAAUAGAGUUGUAGCUUAUACCGUUAGAAAACUUAUGAAAUUCUCUACCACUUUCAUGUAGAAGACCUCCUUAGGUUCUGUCUUUAAGCUUAGGUAAAACAACCAAACAUAAUCUCCUUCCUGAUAAUGUCUCAGCAAAGGUGCAGUAACUUCCAGAAGUUAUAUCUAGAGCUCCUUAACUCAUCUGGAGAUGAUCCUUACAUUUUUGAAAAGGUUGGGAAAUUCUCUACAAGUUUCGUAUACCACGUUUUCCCAGAUUCUGUCUUUAACUUGGCUGAAAAAUUAGAAAUACCAGAUCUGUCCAGAUUUUGAAGCAGAACAGAAACAUCCGAGUAUAAAUAUCAUAAUCUCAAGUUCUACUUAUCCAAAUAAGUUCCAGCUUAUACCGUUGGAAAGAAUAGAAAAUUGUCUACAAAUUUUCUAUAGAAUACUUUUCCAAAUUCUAUAGUUAUAUAUGUCUAAAACAGUAAGCAACCGAAACUGGUACAGAUUCUUGACAGCGCAGCUGCAUCAACUUGUAAUUUUCAUAACUCCAAUUCCAAAAUAGAUAUGGGGGUGAUUCUUGCGGUCAGAGAAAGAUCUUGAAGUCUCGUUGUUCCCAGAAAAAGUUGAUAUACUUUGCACGAUCAAAACUUGAGGUACACCAGAAUCAUCGCAGACUGCUCCAGAAAUCAGCAACGGAUAGGAACAAGAGAUAGCCAAACCCAACUACUUAUUUCAUUAAUCCUUAUGCCUUAGGUCUAUAAACUAAUGAAAUUGUGGAGAAAUCCCACAAGAUCAUUGCAAUCAUUACAAAGAUCCAAAUCAAGCAUAAGCAUAAUAACAAACCAACUAAGCACACUUCACUCAAUUUGCGAUACUAUCGUUCUCUUCAUAGUAAGGGUAGAUAUCUUAAAACACCUAGUCCAACGAUGCCAGAAGGUGGUAAGAAAAAAUUUUAAAAGCAUAUCAAGCAAGGAGUGGGGAUGAGACAAAUAGCAAGGAUAGGGAUAUAAUAUGGAUGAAAAUACCAAGGUUUAUAGAGCAAGGAUUUUAUGACAAUUCCAAAACCUUAAGACGACAAAUUUCUAACUAGGCUUGCGUCCUACAGUCAGCAUUGCUCUGAUACCACUUUGUAAUACCUGAUUUUAAGGAUAAAACCAGAUAUACACCAUAUGUGAGUCUUAGAAGUCAAAUCUCACAUAUAGCUACAAAUAAGGGGUAAUAUCAAAAGACAAUGCAUAAAUAUAUAACGUACUUAGUAUAAAAGAUAUAACCUUUGAUAUCAAACAGCGGACAGACAACUCCAAACUUCGGGUAUUAACUUCACUCCACAGGAUCCAACUGACUGGUUGAUCACAAGCCUAAACUCCUCCUGAAGUUUGGGGGAAAUAGCAAGAGUGAGUCCAUGUCGAACUCCACAAGUAUAGCAACUAGAUUGUAUAGCUCCCACAAUCUCAUGAUCAAUGUGACAUAAAUAAUGUAGAGCAUUAAACAAUAAAUAAUGAGUAUUUUAACACACAGGAAUCAUCACCCUUAAUGUAGAUGUCCCCAAGGCCGCUCCUGACCGUGAGCUCGGCUAGUAUACUAGUUUUAACACUCUGCAGAGGUUGCACAUCUUUACCCAUGAGUCAUGAUUUACCCUUUCGCCCGAGGUGAUUAGCCUCUUAACCCACUUCCAAGGAAGGUCGGCAGGGAUCACUAUGAAGCCUUUCAAAAGUUCGUCUAACAUGUUAGGGCCGCAAGGUUUCCUUCGCGAGCAGAUAUAGAUACCCCCCUUCCGAAUGGCACAAUGACGCGCAGCCUAUACACAUAGGGACAGGGGCUCGCAUUAUACCCGUGUCGGUUCAGCCCCUCUAGCGCCCUUUCGGGUAACCGCUAACAAGCUAGAAAAGGUCUUCAUACUGAGCUAAAGCCAGAGCCAUUAUAGCCCUCAUAUUUACACUGUUGUCCCGGGUGAUCACGUACAGAUAAAUCAUCAAGUUGCUAAAAAGUCAUUUUUAUCGUUUUUUUACUUAACAUUAAUCUAGUCAUAGGAUCACGGUCACAUAAAUAAAAUCCAAAUGCUAUACUUGCCUUAAUCCAAUUGCUCUUGCUUAUCCUUUUGGUUCAGCUGGUCUUACUUGUUGCCAAAGCUCUUAUCUUGAUCACCAAAAACUGCUCUCCGACUAAACUCGAUCAUCGAUCACACAAACAAUCGAAUAAAACAUACACGAAGCAAACAAGGCUACAAUUAGAACAGUACACCAAUCAAUAAAAAGGUCUGAAAACAAAUAUACGCAGCCCCAAUCAUGCAGACACGAAAAGCACACUAAUCGGAGUUACGAUGAAUAAGAAACGACUACCGAGACUUUUAUAUUAUAUUAAAAAGACUAUAUAUACUUGAUUUAUUAUUUUAAUUGAGCAAAACUAUGUAAAAAGUUAUUUAGGUUAGGUUAAAAAAAUAAUUUAAUCCAAAAACUAACCUAAAACUACUCAUAUUUUAUUUAUAAACUGUGUCAUAUAAUUUAAUCAAAUUAAACGUUAUUUUUGCAAAAGAAAAAAACAUAUAUGAAAGCAACUAAUUGAGUUAUCACAUAUGCAACGUAUUUAAACUAAGCAAACUUAGAAAUAUAUUUAAGUUUAUUGUUAAUAGCAUUUAUUAAUAAAAAGCCACGGUGUAAACCCAUGUUUGUUUUAAAUUGCAAAAGAAGUUCCUAUACUUUAAUUAAAUUAAUAUUUAAUUAUGAUAAAUAUAUAAACAUAUGGCAUGGCAAACAUCUCUACUAACUUAUAGAUCAUGUGGUCAUAAAUACAACACAAAAGAACAAACCGAAAAGAGUCAAAAGGAUGAAACGCAUAGACGCUAGGAGUACGACUGUAACAUCUAUUAUUGUAAUCAAGAGUUAUUUAAUAGAUCAGCAGGACAUAACUAUAUGGAAUUAACAUAACAGGGUUGAUUAACCGAAAGCAACAUGGCAUAGAAGAUAGGACCUGCCCUAGCACGUCUUGAAGCUUCGCUCGUUCCUAGUAGAAGCUUCUCUCCAGGUGGGCAUCAACCAACAGAAACAACGGCAAGGUGACAGGCAGCAGCAUCGGCAUCGCAGGGGCUGGUGCACCACGUCGACGUCGUAGGAGUGUUGGGCACGUACAGGAGCCGGAAAUCAGGUGGACUGCAUUGGCUUGGUUGGAGCUUAGAGAGGAUGACCACCACAGCGGGGGCGGCCGGGGAAGAUGUACUGCACGUCUCGGCAACGAAGUAUGAAGUAGAGAGACAAAAUAUUAUUUACUACUUUAAGAGAUUUCCAAACUAGACUCUCUUUAUGUAGUUUUGGUGUAAUUUGACCAAGGGGUUAGUACAUAUAUAUAGGGAGAGAAACUCCCCACCUCCGCGUCAACUAGCGAUAUGGUACUAAUUGAUUUGCAACCUUUAUUUUUACUAAUAGGCCUAACUAAUUAUUAAGCCCAUUAGUAAAGAAAACAUUUGGCCUUUGAAUCAUGAUGACGUUGGCCUAGGGUAAAAUGAAGGAUUUAUUAUUUUCGAGAUUAAUUAUUUUCAUGGAUAAAAUAAUUCUAGAAAAGUCCAGAAUUAGUAGUUAAGCCACGAAAAAUACUUCAAAAGCUCCGAAAAUUUGGGAAAAAUUCUCAGAAACAAUAUGAAACAUGAAGAACCCAAAUAAAGUAUUUGGGGCUCAUGAUAAGAUAAUUUGGAGCAUCUAAAAUUUAGAUUAUGCUCCACGGAAAAGGCCAGAAAAAUUCCCGAGAAGUUUACAGAGAUUGGUUGAUGGACCAGGAACUAAAAGAAGUGCUUUGAGUGACAAAGAAAAGAUUUUAGGAAGGUCCUAAUUAAAAUUUGAGCUUAGAAAUAAGGAAUUUGGUUGUAGAUAAAAGAUAAAUACGUGCCAAAUAAGGAAGAUCGAUCUACUAAACGUAUUUUAAAUAUUUUUCUUACUAUCAACACAUAAAGAGCAACAAGCAUCACUUCAAAACAUAUGCACCAGCAUGUAUGCAUAAUAAUAUUGCUAUGCCUUAUAAUAAAUUUUAAUUUAAUAAAAAAUAUUAUUUUUCCUAUAUUUUCAUGAGCACAAAAAUACAAAAUUAAAUAAUUUUAUCUAUAUUUCAAAAGGAAUAAAUUUUAGGGUGUUACAAUUCUACCCCCUUAAGAUGAAUCUCGUCCUCGAGAUUCGAAAGAUGGUGAUCAAAGAAACAUGGACACUCCACUUUUGAACCUUAUUCACUUCCUCGAGUAGCUCCUUAGUAGCCAUUCCAUUGCUUUCGUCACUCCGAACAUCUCCCUCAAUUGUUUCCAAGAGUUCAGUAGUGCACAUUGUAUAGAUAAGGUUUUUUUUUACUCAUAGCUCAAACAAGGGUAAUACCUACACAUGAUAUUGACUUCUCAUCCAGAGGCAUAAAAGAUACUUCCAACUAAGGCACUAGAACGCAUGGAACCUUCAUUUAGCAACCUUCUUAUCUAGGCUACCCCCUUAAGAUGAGAUUGAUUGGGGAGACAUUAGGGACUAGUCCUCAUAACCUUUUUAAAUGCUACACAUCAUAUAGUCUUUAAAAUUUGUUGUACCGAGUCUCUUGAUCCAAUGUUGGCUUCAUGACUAAGUUCCAAUUGUUAGUACCUUUAUCACAGUUUAUCACAGUUAAGUUGCUUCACUCUCACUUUGUACAUAAAGCUUUGUAGAAUUUGGUGUCAUCUGAUCUUCAUACGCAACUCUUAGUCUGUGAGUAUCAGUAAUGACAUAAACCUCCAAUUAUAUUCUCCAAGUGGGUUGAUACCUUGGAACAAAACCAAAUUCACCAAACAUUUGUGAUCCUAACAUAUGAUCCAACAUUAACCAAUCAUUCUCCUUGUAACUUCUUUAACUAGGCU